rnacentral:rRNA from 1 species
GCGCACCAGGCGCGAAUCUUCCCAAUGGACGAAAGUCUGAGGGAGCGACGCCGCGUGAAUGAAGAAGCCCUUCGGGGUGUAAAAUUCUUUCUUUAGGAAAAUUCGUGAUGGUACUAAAGGAAUAAGGGGCCGCCAAACUCGUGCCAGCAGCGGCGGUAAUACGAGUGCCCCGAGCGUUAUCCGGAAUUACUGGGCGUAAAGCGCUAAAAGGCGGUUUGAUAAGUCAGACGUCAAAAUCCUCCGAGCUACAACGUCGGA